ensembl:misc_RNA
UUGACUGCUCUGGGGACCAGAACUUGACAUUUCUCUGCAAAACAGAGCAUAAGCAAAAGUGAAGGUUUUAACUCUAGGUGCCCACUCUCUGUCACUGAGCCUCAGCCCUGUCCUGCUGAGGCCACCAGCUCCAGGUGGAAGAGCAAUUUGGUCUCCUCUCCGCUUAAUCCUCUCCUGUC